rnacentral:lncRNA from 1 species
AGACUAAACCACGCACCAGCGCAAAGCAAUACAAUCCAGCAAAAUAUAGGACAUAGGUAUUACUCUCCGGAGGCCUGAACCUGUCUAAACCUUCGUGUUCUUGUGAUCACCUUCGAGUUCUUGGUCUCGCAAUCCUCCCUGCCUACAAAUGAACCACUUAGGUAACCCCCUGGUGGACUGCCGGGCUACUAAAUCCAACACUAUCCAUCUUCUGGAAGAAACUUUCUUUAUCACCUUCCAAUAUUUGAGAUUCAUGUAAACAUUUUCAACCGUUGGAUCUUCUCUCCAAACCCUAGCCCCCAAUCCCACCCACCCAUGCCAACAUCACCCCCCCCACGCGGAUCCGCGGCCCCGGCCGCUGCCCCCCCCCC